CACAUUUCCAUCCAGUCACCCAGGUCUCUGCCCGGCUUCUGGGACAGCUCCCAGCCCCACCCAGCUCUGCACCUUGGAAGUAAAAGGUACUGGACAUUGCCAUUUGUCAGGAGGUGACCACCAUGUUGUCUUCACAGCAUGCGGGCUGCUGUCUGGAGUCUCUGGCCCAAAAUCCACUUUGUGGCUUCCCUGCUGCCUGCAGCAACCCCCACUCUGAAGAAGGAACCCCAACUGCCGUGGGUGCAGGAAACGGCGCAGAAGACGGAACCAGCAGCUUCAGGCCGCACAGGGUGGCAGUUUCUCAAUGGCCGUUGGAGGAACUUCCGCAGAAAGCCUGUCUAGAGCCCUCGAUGGAGGCCGGGGAUUGCCAGCUUGGGUGUGUGCACGGCUCCAGCUCUGCCCACGCCACGGUUAAGCACGGAUGGGCCAAAGAGUACGAUCGGUAAGAGAAUUAGGAGCUUGGUUAACAGAGAUGUCCAGCAAGAGGAACUAGGAUCCAUUUGUAUAAGAACAGUGUCCGGGGGUUUUAGAAUCUGCCAUGUCAUCAGUUUGUUCUCUGAUGGUUUGGUGGCUGCCGGGAUAUCAGCAGCAGAACCGGGAAAGUGGGCACAGAGUUCAGCUUCUUACCAUCUCUAGCCCUGGGCAGCACGGUCCGGGUGAACUGAGAUGCUUGGUCCUGUGGAUUUGUUGUCCGACGGUGUCCACCUUCAGAUGCCCACACGUCAGGGUUGGUUUCUGUCUCCACGAGAGGAGGCAGCACAGCUGACCUGGUGCAUAUGCAUCACAGUAUUUACAGCUGGUAAAUGUCUCCUCCUGAGAGAGGAGCUGGACUUUCCGGCAUCAUCAAACAUGAAUGUGUGAAAAGAAAACCCUCCCAGUUAGAGCCCAAAGGCUGUGCAAGGUAGGGAAAGGCCUCCUCGCAGGGCCUCGGUGCGCUGCGGCGUGGCCACAGGAGGAGGCCAGGGCUGUACAGCAGGACAGAGAGGCUUGUGCCGUGUCCACACUGGGCUGGUUCAUUUUCCCGCCAUGCUCAUGGGGACCCGGGGCUCCUCCGUGGAGAGGACAGUCUGCUCAGACGGAGAGGGCAGCGAGGUCCUGUGGCCACUGCCGGACCAACUGAUAGGACGGGUCUGAGCCCGCAGGCUUUGGCCGCAGAGGGGACUCCGCCGGCCAGGGGUCAGCUCUGCAGUUGGGACGUGGACGGGGACCCCUUCAGGUGACCGGGUCAGCAGGGCCAGCAGCUCUGCCCUGCCCUGGGAUGCUGCUUGGACCCCGAGCAUCAGACUCAGGCUCGGUUUGUCUUCAGCCUGCAGCAAGGCCAGCUGCUUGGGUUCGGUCUGUGUGUCCUCUCCCGGGCGUCCUCCACGAGGACAUUCAUGUCCCCUCACCCGGGCCCAUUCUUCAAAGUCUGCCUCUCAGGGUUCUCCGGGCUGAGUCGUAUGGUCUCUUCUGAUCAUCAUUGGUGGCAGCCAAGCGGGCACUUGAAGACACGGCGGGCAUUGUGCUUGAUCUCUUUCCUCAGGCAAGACGACGGGGCCACCUUCGUUCCCCAGUGAUUCUCCCGGGGGUCUCCGGAAUGAGCAGGGGACCACGUGCAGGAAUCUGGGCCUCCAGGUGCUGCCUUCAGGCUGAAUCUGCAUAUCACGACACCUGCAUCUCCGCAUCCUCUGCGUCU
rnacentral:lncRNA from 1 species